GAUCAAGAGAGAGACAGACAUCCCCAAAAAGGUCUUUGCUCUGCAAUCUAUCCUAUCUCACCUGACCAGAGUGAUGGGCACAAACAUGAGUGCCUGACAUGCUCAGAAAGAUCCAAGAUGCAAAGCCAGGACCUUUCAAAGGAAGUGGGUUACCUAUCUCCAGGAGGUAGAGAAAAAGCAUUCCAUGGAUACUUUCAAGAAGGGUGAGGUAACCAGAGCAGCUGAAAUUAUGGUUUUAUGGAGGAGAGGGGGAAGAGGGUGUGUGUGUUCACCAGAGAAAGAGAAAACACCUCUCAAUGGAGCAUAGACAAGCUUCAAUCCAUUUCUCCAACCCACUAGGAUUUGGGGCA